AAUAUUCACAUAGAACACCGCCGCCUUGAACAAUAAUUAGGAAAUGUGAGCGUGGUUGGUGUAGUAAUCUACAAGGGUGGGCUCAAUUGGCGGCUACGCUUGUUAUUAAUUUGAGAAUGUACAUAUGUAUGUUAAGAAUUGACUCUGCUACCAACGAUAAUUCCAACGAUAAUUCCAACGAUAAUUGAAAGACGUUAUUACUAAC
ensembl:ncRNA C33D12.11 ncRNA